UGCAGAAUCCCGUGAACCAUCGAGUCUUUGAACGCAAGUUGCGCCUGAAGCCAUUAGGCCAAGGGCACGUCUGCCUGGGCGUCACGC
rnacentral:rRNA from 2 species